GUACGUGGUUGGCGAAGCCGCCACGUCACCAUUCUCCUCUUGUCGUUGUUGCUCCGGGGUUUAUCAAACCCCGGUUUUUUUUG
rfam:Burkholderia sp. SRS-W-2-2016 contig13613, whole genome shotgun sequence.